GUGUUGGCUUCUGCAACACAUAUACUAAAAUUGUACAUCAAUGACACAGAGAUUAUUAGCAUGACCCCUGCACAGGGAUAACAUGCAAACUUUGUGAAACAUUUCAUAGAAAU
ensembl:snRNA U6 U6 spliceosomal RNA